AACGAACGCUGGCGGCAUGCCUAACACAUGCAAGUCGAACGAGACCUUCGGGUCUAGUUGCGCACGGGUGCGUAACGCGUGGAAAUCUGCCCUUCGGUUGGGAAUAACACAGAGAAAUUUGUGCUAAUACCUUAUAAUGGCUUCGGACCAAAGAUUUAUCGCCGAGGGAUGAGCCCGCGUAUGAUUAGCUAGUUGGUGGGGUAAUGGCCUACAAAGGCGACGAUCCUUAGCUGGUCUGAGAGGAUGAUCAGCCACACUGGGACUGAGACACGGCCAAGACUCCUACGGGAGGCAGCAGUGGGGAAUAUUGGACAAUGGGCGAAAGCCUGAUCCAGCAAUGCCGCGUGAGUGAUGAAGGCCUUAGGGUUGUAAAGCUCUUUUACCCGGGAUGAUAAUGACAGUACCGGGAGAAUAAGCUCCGGCUAACUCCGUGCCAGCCGCCGCCGUAA
rnacentral:rRNA from 1 species